rnacentral:rRNA from 1 species
AGCGAACGCUGGCGGCAGGCCUAACACAUGCAAGUCGAACGAACCUUUCGGGGCUAGUGGCGGACGGGUGAGUAACACGUGGGAACGUGCCUUUAGGUUCGGAAUACCUCAGGGAAACUUGUGCUAAUACCGCAUGUGCCCUUCGGGGGAACGAUUUAUCGCCUUUAGAGCGGCCCGCGUCUGAUUAGCUAGUUGGUUGAGGUAAUGGCUCACCAAGGCGACGAUCAGUAGCUGGUCUGAGAGGAUGAUCAGCCACAUUGGGACUGAGACACGGCCCCAAAUCCUACGGGAGGGAGGAGUGGGGAAUCUUGCGGAAUGGGCGAAAGUCCGACGCAGCCAUGCCGCGUGAAUGGUGAAGGUCUUAGGAUUGUAAAAUUCUUUCAGCGGGGACGAUAAUGACGGUACCCGGAGAAGAAGCCCCGGCUAACUUCGUG